rnacentral:lncRNA from 1 species
CAUGACAUGGUGCAUCACAUGCACCAUCCAUUAUAUAUUGGACAGCUAUGCAUAAAUGUGAGCCAUGCGAUAUGUACAUCAUGUACGGCUGCAUGCAGCUGUCCAUCACACGAUAGAUGGUAUGCGUGAUGUAUCGUAUUGUGCAGUUUAUCAUGAGUAUCGCAGAGAAUCUCUGCUCGGAAAUAUAAUGUCAAGAUAAAAUAGGUGUUGAAUUGUUAAAUUGAUAAAUUUAUUAAAGGUGGCAUUAAAUGAGCUAGAAGGUAUCCCAUG